rnacentral:lncRNA from 1 species
AAUCAUGCAGUUGUGUCAAAAUCUAAUUCUCCUAUUUAUUUUCAUUCUUUUUCGUUCGAGACAGUCACAUUAAGGCCAUUUAUCUAUACUAAUGUCACACAUGUGGUAGGCUAACCGGUUAGCGUCUUAUUCACGUUUUUGCAAAUGCUUUAUUCACUUUGAAUCUUCUUUUUUUUUUCUCUUUUUUUUCUUCUUUUUUUCCUCAAAAUUUUCAAAUUUU